AUUGAACGCUGGCGGCAUGCCUUACACAUGCAAGUCGAGCGAGCGGCGGAGGGGUGAGUAAUGUAUGGGGACUGCCCGAUAGAGGGGGAGAAAUACUGGAAACAGUGGCUAAUACCGCAUACUGUCUGAGAACCCAUAUGGGAUGAGCUAGUAGGUAAGGUAAUGGCUUACCUAGGCGACGAUCCCUCGCUGGUCUGUGAGGAUGAGCCGCCACACUGGGACUGAGACACGGUCCAGACUCCUACGGAGGCAGCAGUGGGGAAUAUUGCACAAUGGGCGCAAGCCUGAUGCAGCCAUGCCGCGUGUAUGAAGAAGGCCCUAGGGUUGUAAAGUACUUUCAGUCGGGAGGCGUUACCGGCAGAAGAAGCACCGGCUAACUCCGUGCCAGCAGCCGCGGUAAUAC
rnacentral:rRNA from 1 species